rnacentral:rRNA from 1 species
GAUGAACGCUGGCGGCGUGCCUAAUACAUGCAAGUCGAGCGAACGGACGAGAAGCUUGCUUUUCUGAUGUUAGCGGCGGACGGGUGAGUAACACGUGGAUAACCUACCUAUAAGACUGGGAUAACUUCGGGAAACCGGAGCUAAUACCGGAUAAUAUUUUGAACCGCAUGGUUCAAAAGUGAAAGACGGUCUUGCUGUCACUUAUAGAUGGAUCCGCGCUGCAUUAGCUAGUUGGUAAGGUAACGGCUUACCAAGGCAACGAUGCAUAGCCGACCUGAGAGGGUGAUCGGCCACACUGGAACUGAGACACGGUCCAGACUCCUACGGGAGGCAGCAGUAGGGAAUCUUCCGCAAUGGGCGAAAGCCUGACGGAGCAACGCCGCGUGAGUGAUGAAGGUCGUCGGAUCGUAAAACUCUGUUAUUAGGGAAGAACAUAUGUGUAAGUAACUGUGCACAUCUUGACGGUACCUAAUCAGAAAGCCACGGCUAACUACGUG